GAUGAACGCUGGCGGCGUGCCUAAUACAUGCAAGUCGAGCGAACGGACGGUAAUCUUUCUUCUCUGAUGUUAGCGGCGCAAGGGUGAGUAACACAUGGAUAACAUACCUAUAAUACUGGGAUAACUCCGGGAAAAAGUAGCUAAUACCGCAUAAUAUUUUAAUCCGCAUAGUUCAGAAGUGUAAGACGGUCUUGUUGUCACAUAUAGAUGUAUCCGCGCUGCAUUAGCUAGUUGGUAAGGUAACGGCUUACCAAGGCAACGAUGCAUAGCCGACCUGAGAGGGUGAUCGGCCACACUGGAACUGAGACACGGUCCAGACUCCUACGGGAGGCAGCAGUAGGGAAUCUUCCGCAAUGGGCGAAAGCCUGACGGAGCAACGCCGCGUGAGUGAUGAAGGACUUCGGUUCGUAAAACUCUGUUGUUAGGGAAGAACAUAUGUGUAAGAAACUGUGCACAUCGUGACGGUACCUAAUCAGAAAGCCACGGCUAACUACGUG
rnacentral:rRNA from 1 species